rnacentral:rRNA from 1 species
GGCAGGCCUAACACAUGCAAGUCGAGCGGCAGCACGGGUACUUGUACCUGGUGGCGAGCGGCGGACGGGUGAGUAAUGCCUAGGAAUCUGCCUAGUAGUGGGGGAUAACGUCCGGAAACGGGCGCUAAUACCGCAUACGUCCUACGGGAGAAAGUGGGGGAUCUUCGGACCUCACGCUAUUAGAUGAGCCUAGGUCGGAUUAGCUAGUUGGUGAGGUAAUGGCUCACCAAGGCGACGAUCCGUAACUGGUCUGAGAGGAUGAUCAGUCACACUGGAACUGAGACACGGUCCAGACUCCUACGGGAGGCAGCAGUGGGGAAUAUUGGACAAUGGGCGAAAGCCUGAUCCAGCCAUGCCGCGUGUGUGAAGAAGGUCUUCGGAUUGUAAAGCAC